rnacentral:rRNA from 1 species
GACCAGACUCCUACGGGAGGCAGCAGUAAGGGAUAUUGGUCAAUGGGGGAAACCCUGAACCAGCAACGCCGCGUGAGGGAAGACGGUUUUCGGAUUGUAAACCUCUGUCCUCUGUGAAGAUGAUGACGGUAGCCGAGGAGGAAGCCACGGCUAACUACGUGCCAGCAGCCGCGGUAAUACGUAGGUGGCAAGCGUUGUCCGGAAUUACUGGGUGUAAAGGGAGCGUAGGCGGGAAAGCAAGUUGAAUGUUUAAGGUACGGGCUCAACCUGUACAAGCGUUCAAAACUGUUUUUCUUGAGUGGAGUAGAGGUAAGCGGAAUUCCUAGUGUAGCGGUGAAAUGCGUAAAUAUUAGGAGGAACACCAGUGGCGAAGGCGGCUUACUGGGCUGUAACUGACGUUGAGGCUCGAAAGCGUGGGGAGCAAACAGGAUUAGAUACCCCAGUAC